rnacentral:rRNA from 1 species
GACGAACGCUGGCGGCGUGCUUAACACAUGCAAGUCGAACGAAGUGGCGAACGGGUGAGUAACGCGUAAUCAACCUGCCCUUCAGAGGGGGACAACAGUUGGAAACGACUGCUAAUACCGCAUACUGAAGGAGGGGAUUGCGUCUGAUUAGCUAGUUGGAGGGGUAACGGCCCACCAAGGCGAUGAUCAGUAGCCUGUCUGGGAGAAUGAACGGACACAUUGGGACUGAGACACGGCACAGACUCAUACGGGAGGCAGAAGUGGGUAAUCUUCCGAAAUGGAAGAAAGUCUGAAGGAGCACCGCCGCGUGAGUGAGGACGGCCUUCGGGUUGUAAAGCUCUUUUAAUCGGGACGCGGGACCGGAAUAGAAAGCCACGGCUAACUACGGGCCAGCAGCCGCGGUAAUUC